AGUUUCAAUCGCCGCGCCGUAACCGGAUAAACAGAGGACAUGGAGAAUCGACAUGUUUUCAAGGCAACGUCGAGCAGCGAGCGAUUAAGUGGUUACCGAUCUCCAGUUACGCAUACCACGAAGUGCGCAGAGCUAUACGUACACGCCUGAUGCGACCUCAGACCAUUCGU
rnacentral:misc_RNA from 1 species